AGCAGCCGCGGUAAUUCCAGCUCCAAUAGCGUAUAUUAAAGUUGUUGCAGUUAAAAAGCUCGUAGUUGAAUUUCGGGGUUAGUAGGUUGGUCAUGCCUCUGGUAUGUACUGGUCUCACUGAUUCCUCCUUCCUGAUGAACCAUAAUGCCAUUAAUUUGGUGUUGCGGGGAAUUUGGACUGUUACUUUGAAAAAAUUAGAGUGUUUAAAGCAAGCUAACGCUUGAAUACAUUAGCAUGGAAUAAUGAAAUAGGACGUUCGAUCCUAUUUUGUUGGUUUCUAGGAUUGACGUAAUGAUUAAUAGGGAUAGUUGGGGGCAUUAGUAUUCAAUUGUCAGAGGUGAAAUUCUUGGAUUUAUUGAAGACCAACUACUGCGAAAGCAUUUGCCAAGGAUGUUUUCAUUAAUCAAGAACGAAAGUUAGGGGAUCGAAGACGAUCAGAUACCGUCGUAGUCUUAACCAUAAACUAUGCCGACUAGGGAUCGGAUGAUGUUAAUUUUUUAAUGACUCAUUCGGCGCCUUACG
rnacentral:rRNA from 1 species